AUCGGAAUCUACUCUGUCGUGGGGGAUAACGUAGGGAAACUUACGCUAAUACCGCAUACGACCUACGGGUGAAAGCAGGGGAUCUUCGGACCUUGCGCGAUUGAAUGAGCCGAUGUCGGAUUAGCUAGUUGGCGGGGUAAAGGCCCACCAAGGCGACGAUCCGUAGCUGGUCUGAGAGGAUGAUCAGCCACACUGGAACUGAGCCAGGAUCCAACUCUAUACGGGAGGCAGCAGUGGGGAAUAUUGGACAAUGGGCGCAAGCCUGAUCCAGCCAUACCGCGUGGGUGAAGAAGGCCUUCGGGUUGUAAAGCCCUUUUGUUGGGAAAGAAAUCCAGCUGGCUAAUACCCGGUUGGGAUGACGGUACCCAAAGAAUAAGCACCGGCUAACUUCGUGCCAGCAGCCGCGGUAAUACGAAGGGUGCAAGCGUUACUCGGAAUUACUGGGCGUAAAGCGUGCGUAGGUGGUCGUUUAAGUCCGUUGUGAAAGCCCUGGGCUCCACCUGGGAACUGCAGUGGAUACUGGGCGACUAG
rnacentral:rRNA from 3 species